UGCAGUGGUGCGAUCUCGGCUCACUGCAAGCUCCGCCUCCUGGCUUCACGCCAUUCUUCUGCCUCAGCCUCCCGAGUAGCUGGGACCACAGACACCCACCACCACACCCAGCUAAUUUUUUGUAUUUUUUUAGUAAAGAUGGGGUUUCACCGUGUUAGCCAGCAUGGCAUUUAAUAUCUUGAUAAGCCCAUCAUAAAGUCAAAAAAAUCUUAAGUCAAACCAUUAUAAGUUGGGGAUUGUCUGUAGUUGAGUAUUUGAUUUCAGACUUCUGAUUUUAAAUCAGAAGGUAGGGAGAAUUUGGUUGAAUAUGUAAAUGAUACUGAGGUGGUUCAGAUAAUUUAUAAUCCACUGUAUAAAUUUUUUUAAUUUACAAGGGUUAUUUAAGUGCGUAGGCAGGUUUUGUCAGACAAGUGACAUAAAAAUAAAACAUUAUAAAUGCAAUUUAAAUUUAGUUUAUAAUGUAUUACAAAUUAGCAUAGUAUAUUGUUAUAAAUAUAUUAAAUUUAUAAAUGGAAUUUAGAGCAUUUAAAGAAAUUUAAUUAAGUUUACAAAUGGCACUAGACAAUCAAAAGCUUACAAGUGAUUAUAAAUUUUGCUAUAAAGUAAUAAGUAGAUUUGUAUAUUUAUAGAUGUAGUAGAGUCGUAAGAUUUUUAAGUUGAACUUCUAUACUUAAGGUUUUGUAAUUUGUAACUUUAAUCAAACAUUAAUUUUAAAAACCAGUCACCAUAAAUUGUGUUUUCUGUGUAUGAAAGCUACCCUUAUAAGCAAAUA
rnacentral:lncRNA from 10 species